AGUCUACCAACUUAGCGCAUCUUAAUUCAACAAUUUUAUUCCACUCUUCCUUGCAGAAAUGCUCCAGAUCUAUCAGAUUGUGAGGGGAUCUCUUGAACUUCUGAAGCCAUUCCUUUGUUGACUUAUGUUUGUGCUUUGGGUUGUUAUUGUGCUGGAAGAGCCCCAGUCCCAGCUGAAGAGAAUGGAUGAUGCUGCCACCACCAUGCUUCACCUGAGAUCCUGUGCAUGCUUUGGAAGCUCUUGGAGGACCAUGGCUUCAACAGUUGGAUGAAACCAAGAUGAUGUUAUAAAGAAAAUCCUACAGAAAAGCUGACCUUUAAUUGGGG